CAAUUUUGAAAGAAGAAGAAAAAAAACUAGCAAUUUUGAGCUCAGGAGGGAUAGACGGGGAAGAUGAAGAUGGGAGGAUUGAUAAGAGUGAAGGUAACCUUGUCAUUUUCGAACGGCGUAGAGAACGGCCAAGGAGAAAAAUCUGGCUUAUAAAAGCCUUGCAAGGUCAAGAAAAAGAUAUAGAGAGAGGAACAAAAGAAAUGAAAAAAGAAGAGGAAAGGUAGAGGAGGGGAGAGCUCAGCAAGGAUAGCACCAGCAUUACAGACGACGAUGAAAAUGAAGUUGGUACGCGUGUUGUUCCCAUCUAGAUCCCAUAACGCUCUUCUUGUAACCCUCGUACCUGAGAAUCAAAGCAGCACACAAAGGUGGCAGAGGAGACAUGAUGGAAGGAGGGAGGAGGGAUGGAUUAUAUAUCUCGGAAUAGGAAAAGAAGAGCUUUUUAUAGAGAAUGAGUGAGGAAGAAAGGGAAGUAAUAAAUAGGGUAGAUCGAGGAGAAGGUAGAAAUUAAUCUCCAAAACCCAACUGGUUGGUUUCUUGGUUGCUUGAGUUGGGUUGUCUGACAUUCCAAAUGUGUGUUUCUCUCCCUGCAACAGGAAAAAGGCCACUGAUCAUCAAACCAUGCACAUGUAACACAACAGCAUGCAGAAGCACAGACCAAAAGGAAAAACAAACAAAACAAAUAAACUUUUUUUUUAUUAUCUGAUGCGGUUCAGUGUGACUGUGCUCAGCCCGAGGGGGACUCAGACUCACACAACUCGGCAAGCUGGCUGGCUGGCUGGCUGGCUGGCUGCUGGGUUGAUCGUCGAUCGGCUGGUUGUGUUGAAUUAAUGCAUGUAUAUAGAUCGAUAAAGCCCUAUGUAGAUUGACAGAUAGAUCUGAUCUGAAUAUCAGAUAAUUAACAUUUAACCAGCUUCUGCCUGCUUGGUAGUAGGUAUCUGAGGCUGGUUUCUGCAAAACCUGCAGCAAGAGCCUAAACCAGAACUGGGAAUUGAAGAUGGGGAAGGUGGAUAGAUCAAUUAUACUAUAAUAGAAUUCAGA
rnacentral:lncRNA from 1 species